ensembl:lncRNA
GGCUACAGUUCUGAUUCAACCCCUAGCCUGGGAACCUCCAUAUGCCGUGGGUGCGGCCCUAAAAAGACAAAAAAAGGGGGGGGAGGGGCUUGUGGAAUCUGGUUGGAGUUUGGGUUUUCACAGACAGCAUCAAGUUAGCACCACAAUAUUCAGCUGUGUUUGUUUUCCAAAAUGUUGGAGAAGCUUCUGGUUUCUUUCCCCAGUGGGUGUGGUGACUGAGAUUGGGAUACACAAUGAGCACCGUCCAAAGGGAAACAGUUGUGGAAACAUUCUCAUCAAACAGUAGUGCAGACUCCACAGACAGCUCUCCUGGAGUUUGUGAGUUAGAAAGUGACAAAUGCUUGUCAUUGUGACAACCCCAGAGUCUGACGGAGUCCAGCAACAUGUCCAGCCACUCUGCUCCACACGGUGACUCAGUGAUCCAUUCCUCCCAUGCUGUGUGAUCUUGUCCCCUCACUUCUGGCCUUGUGGACAAGAAACCACUGAGGCACCCCAUCACUCACAUUCUGGAGCCAGAGUGAGGCCGCUGGCCCAUUGUCUAAGCAAAGGAGGGUGGUGUUCGUACCCACAUGGAUAGUGGUGAGCACUAGCAUAUAUUCCAUGAUUACCCAAUAUUAAAAUACUGAUUAUUGCAGUAUUCUUUGCUUCUCUUGGAAAAUGUAAAUGGCCUUAAGCAUUGUCCAUUUUCUAUGUUUUGAGGUAAAUUAUGUCCUCUGAUUCAGAGGACACCAUCUCUGUUUUUAAAAACAAUUUCAGGGAGUUCCCUGCUGGCCUAUCAGGUUAAGAAUCUGGCAGAGCUGGGUGAAUGGUGAAGGACCAUGUGACCCUGGUCAGGAUGGAUGGGUAGAUAGUAGGAUGUCAUCAUCACCAAAUGAAGAUUCCAUCCUCCGGUUGUGAGUUGCAACUCUGCCAUUCCAUGUGCUAUGGGCACACGCCCAGCAUCUCCUGGGGAGUGUGCAUCAGUAGCAGUUGGUGUUUUGAUGCCAACUGAUUGUUGAGAGAUCAAACCUUACACCAGAUGAGUGUCUGUAUCCCUGGAUCUCACCAUCAACAUGUCACUUAGUCAAGUAUUACCUGAAGAGCAGAAAUGCUGUUGAAACCAAAGGUCUGACCUCUUUUUGCAGGUGGCAGAUGAGCCUGGUCAAACAUACACUACUCCACACUUCUCCCUUUUUGCUUACCCCAAAGAGACAUUGCUAGAUGGUCCUUUUUGUCCAGAGAGUCCUAUUUGUUUGUCUUCUUUUGGGUUCCCUGCUGCUGCUAAGUCUGCAGCCGCAGCCUCUACUCUUGGUCCCUCAUGGAUUUAUUUUAGGGUGUCCGUGUUUUAGGUGGUGUCGUCACAACUCUGUACUCCCAAAGUCUCUUUGUGGGGGUGGGGGAGGGAUAAAAUCCUGCUCUCCAACACUCCUGCUGAUACUUAGCAUCAGCCUGACGAUUCCAGAAAUGUCCCCGAACACUGCUGAACACGAAUCAGGGUCCUGUGCUGGUGUGGCUGGUGGGCAGGCCCCACUUUGCACUGCCUCACCCUGAGGACUGGGUGUUCCCACCAGUCUCACCAGGGAUGCGAUUUUCAGUUUAAAUACUUUCACUGCACAUCCCAGCCAGUUUCUGUACUUAAAAUGAGCAAGUAAUUAUUUAAUUAUAUAGCUCUUCUCUUUUUCCUCUGAACACUUAUGUGUAGUCUGUGAAUUGAAGAUGCUGUUUCCUUUGCAAACCAUGGAGCCCACGUUUUCUUCCCUUCAUUGGCGUAUUGAUCUUCUUUCUUUUUGCAGUCAAAUACUACCAGACAUUGUUCACCUCGGGAGAUAAACUACUAUCCCCUCCCCCCCAUAGCACUGUGCCCUGCAGGGGGCUGGAAGCCCACCCAGUCCUCCUUUGCACCAGGGCUUUCUCAGAUGAAAUGGGUGUGUCGCUCAGAUGAGGCCUUGGCAUUUUCUGUUCCAUGUGGAGCCAUGAAGCCGAGCAGACAGGCAGGCCAUCAGUUUGCUCAUCCCUGUGAUGUGGCAUCAGGCAACCACAUAUUAGGGGUUCAAAUUUGGCCGCUAAUAUUUUCAUUUCCUCGAGUUAAUGAAGAGGCUGGGUUGAGAAUUUUAAAAUAAUUCAAAACAGCUUCAAAUUUUUUUUUUCUGCAUACUCUGAGUGAUUUUACUGAGUUUGCCAGAAAGACGGAUGUAGGAAAAAUACAGAGCUGCUCCAUGUAAUGAAAAGUGACUCCAGCCUCCAAUCUUUCGAGAGCAGACUGGCUCUCCUUUACCUUCAGUGAGUUUACCUGAAGAAGCCGGAAUGGAAACCUGACCCUGGUCCCACUCCUUCCAGGCUAAGCCGGGCGGUGUGGACAGACGUAGCUGUGUGGCUUGAACAAUUCGCUUGCGCUCAGAAGACGUGGCCCCCGGGAACAUGAGCCUGCGAGGGACUUGAAAGCAAAGCUGGCUUUUCCCGUCGCCUUUAUGUUUUAUGAGUGUUAGGAAAUGCUGGCUGUUUACUCAUUAUCAAAGCAGUUUUUAUGACUUCCCUGAAGGAAAACAAAAAAGGAAAGGAUCCAAGUGCAUAUUCCUUUCGGCCUGGGAUGAAAGCUUGACCUUUAGUGCCCUUGGGGAUGGCGCGGUCUGUAGCCCUGGAAAAUAAAACUCGGGAUGCGUGUUCAGGAAAGCGGGAGGCUUUGAAGUUGGAAGCCAAGCAGGAACAGCUGUCUUGGAUGCCGAGGCCACUCUGGCCUGACGUGACAGCCCAUCCAGCCCGUCCACGCGUGGUCCCUUCCCUCCCACAGGGCCUCUGUGGUGCCCCUGGAUGCUUCAAGUUGUUGAACAAAGGACACAACAAACAAGCCCAAGACCCCAGGACACCUCAGUGUCUGUCCCAGAGGAAAACACAGCCAUGUUCUGCCCACAACCAGCCUUUCAUGGGAGCCUCAGAUACGAGGAAAAUCAAAGCAGGGAACAUGCUGUUACCACUGAAAAUCUCAUUAUGAUGAUUUAAGACCCUCAAUCAAGUUUGACUGGAACAAAAACACUUCUGCCUUUUUAGGCUGCUGAGGCCUUGGAACUGGCAUGGAGCAGAGAAAUAUUUUCUGCAUGGAAAUUUUUAUUUUCUCGUUGGGAUCUGCAUAUUAGGUUAAAUGCCAUCAAUCACUAUUGAAAAAUUAGCAUAAAAUAUUCUUUUCCCUGGAGAGGAUGUGAAAAACCUCUGAGCUUGUCAGUUACCAUAACCACUGGCCCCCAGUAUUUAUUUGCAUUCUUACUUUGGUCUCUUUUCAAUGGACAGGCCCUUUACGGCUUCCUUCCUGUUUCUAUCAGCGGAAAUUGAACAGUCAAAUUGUAAAUAACUAAGCCCUAUCAGUUCCCAAGACUGAGGUCCUUUCUUUUAUAUUCUCUUAAAAAUCUACUCAGCUACAUCACUUUCUAAAAAUAAAAUGCGGGGUUGCCUUUAUUGUUCUCCUUGUUUUGUGUUCACCCGUUUGAAGAAUUUAUGACAAGGUGCCAUUUCCAGUGGAAAAGCGCCGGGCUGACAUUCCCAAACACUUGUAAAAUUGGGUUUGCAGCAUAGUUCAGUUCUGAUUGGAAACUUACAGUUUGCUAUACAUGCUCCCCAAGUGUACCUUCAUUAACAGCAUUCCCCCCAUACCUAAGUCUUCCGUUGGGAUUGUUUUCACGCAGGUGCCGUGUUUUUCUGCUUCCCUUCUGUGGGCAGUUGGAUGCUGUGGUCACUGUGGUCAUUGCCCAGAGGCAAGAAAAAGAGAGACAGCACAGGGCGUCCAGGGACAAAAUCUGUUGUUGGAAGAAUUCAGCAACUGCCAGAACCAGAACAACGAAGUCCAGAACAACUAAGCUGGAUUAGCGGUAGGGCCUCCAUGGCCGUGUUAAGAGAAAAGGCAUUGCCUUGUUUCCAUCCAGACUGGGAGUGGACAGACUUUGAGGUUAAAGGACCAGCGAUGUUGGAGCCCCAGGCCCUGGGGCAUUCGGAUUGUCAGCUGCAGAGGCAGAACCACAGUUGAGCCAAAGAACAAGAUGAAAAUGUCCAGGAAGUAAACCAAUAACAUUUGUGGGGCCUUUGAUUUUACUUUCCCAUCCUUGUCUUGCUUAGCCCUCACCAGAGUGUGAGGAGGGCAGGAAUUACCAUCUCCUUGUACAGGUGAGGAGGUCCAGGCUCAGAACGAAGUGCCUGCAGGUCCUAGGCCGGUGGUGGUGCUUCCGUGUGUUUUUCACUAUUUCAGUGAAUGCUGUGGAAAGGGCGGUGGUGAUGAUCCUGUAGGGACCUCUCAGACUUUUACGUGCACCUUGUAAACCUCCAGAUUCUGACCUGGAAGUUGGGGCUGAAAUUCUGCAUUUCUCCGAAGCUCCCCUUUUAGCUCUGUCACUGUCGUUUUGUCCUGAAAUUUCAGAGCACGGCCCUUCCUUGCACCAAAUGAAGCCCCUCCACGGGUGCUCUGCUCUACACUUUUUUUUUGGCAAAAGGAACUCCAAACAAUUUUUGUUUUUCUGAACUGUUACUGCAAGACUCAAUCUCAAAUUCUAGAAUCAACCAUCCUGGGGUUUCUCUGGCGAGUAAGUAUCCGUGUGGUCCUGUUAUCAGCACUAACACCCAAACUGGACACCCAUUGGCCCUUAAGAAAUCCCUAUAUGCCAAAUUCUUCCUUGAAGCCACCAGAUGUUAUACUCCCGUCCACGUAGCAGUCCUGUGGAGCCAGCACAUGGGGACCCCAGUAGGUGCUAGACCUAGACAGACCCUAAUUCGAGGCUGCCCUUCCCUCUGCGGGAGCUAACCCUGCAGCCACGGCCACUCCAGAGCUCAGCCCAGGUUGUUUCCCUCCAGGUCUCACUGAGCCAGGCAGGGCUUACCAGAAUGUUGAGCCCAAAUAACUGAAAAUAUUGUUGGUGGGCGAGCCUGGGUGCUGCAAAGAACACACGAGCUUUGGAGUCUGACGUGGAAAGUCCAUCAGCAGCCAGCAUAUGUGUCCGGCUGACUGAAGUAGCCAGUACUGGGGAGCCCCCAGGGCAGUAUGCAGAUGUGUCACCGGUCGCCCACUGAUCCUGGGGCAGAGGCCAGAAGGGUGAGAGGCCAGGCCCAGUGGAGCUUUCACACAGUACGAUGAGGGUGGCAGCGGUCCCCCUUCCCUGGAGGGGGCAGCAGGGCAGGACUGCGUCUGGGUUUGUAGCUGGAUUAGUUGUUAUAGAUGCGGCAAGUCUGCACCAAAGAGUGUCCCAGCAGUGUUCAUGGUUGGGAAGCAUGAUGGUGUGUAUGUGUGCUUGUGCGCGUGUAUGCCUGAGCCCAGGGUCCAGAUGCACUGAGCAUCUGGCUGUCAGUUUGCAGGCUGCUGCCCUGGGUUUGGGAGGCACAGAUCCUUCCUGGUGGGUGGGAGGUGUCCCCUGGGGCAGGAGGGAGCCUCUGGGAGCGGCUGUCCCUAUGUCUCAUGUGACACCAUGUGGCUGCCCAGCUCUGACUGUGCUGACCGCAGGUGCCUGUGUCCACAGACCUGCUUUGUCACCGAGCAAUCCCAGGAGCACCUCCUCCAGGCCAGGGUCCAGGAGACCUGAGUCUCUGGGGAGGGGGUAGUGAAGAACCACGUGACCCUGGUCAGAGCUGACCAGCUAUGGGGCUGUCUAGAAACCCUCUUGAGACACAAUACCUUGGACUUGUGCCAGGACACAACUCAGUCGUUCUUUCCAAAAAGUCAAAGGACUGUCAAAAUUGUUUUAACAUUUAGUGAAGAAAAAUGGCAAGUUGAGUUACAAAGUAUGCUACAGGGAAAAGCAACUGCUGUACGUGGGGGCCAGAAAUAAAAGACACAAUAAAAAUUAAAACCCCAGUCACUUCAGCAGUUUGUGUCCCAGCAGACGGUUAAUGAAGAACAUUCUGGAGUCUGGUCUUCUGGGUAGACUGCCCCUUGGUGGUUCCAUGUUUACCUUUAAGAUGGUAAAAACAAAAAACAAAACAAAACAAAACAGAGUUCCCGUCGUGGUACAGUGGUUAAUGAAUCCGAAUAGGAACCAUGAGGUUGCGGGUUUGGUCCCUGGCCUUGCUCAGUGGGUUAAGGAUCUGGCGUUGCCGUGAGCUGUGGUGUAGGUUGUAGACGCAGCUCGGAUGCCGAGUUGCUGUGGCUCUGGUGUAGGCUGGCGGCUACAGCUCCGAUUAGACCCCUAGCCUGGAAACCUCCAUAUGCUGUGGGAGCGGCCCCAGAAAAAGGCAAAAAGAGAAAAAAAAAAAAA